UACGUAGGGAGCAAGCGUUGUCCGGAAUCAUUGGGCGUAAAGCGCGCGUAGGUGGCCUCAUAAGUCCGCUGUGAAAGUCAAAGGCUCAACCUUUGAAAGCCGGUGGAUACUGUGAGGCUAGAGUACGGAAGAGGCGAGUGGAAUUCCUGGUGUAGCGGUGGAAUGCGCAGAUAUCAGGAGGAACACCAAUAGCGAAGGCAGCUCGCUGGGACGUUUACUGACACUGAGGCGCGAAAGCGUGGGGGAGCGAACAGG
rnacentral:rRNA from 1 species